CAACUGUUGAGCAGUCAUCUGUAACUGUGCUGUUGAAUUUGUACAAUUUUCAAAUAUCUUAAUUUUCAAAAUCUUUCUGUUUGAGUUGUUUUCAUUCUUGUCUUCCUUCCAAUUGCAUUUGGGAAUCUAACC